AUUGAACGCUGGCGGCAGGCUUAACACAUGCAAGUCGAGCGAAACGGCGGACGGGUGAGUAAUGCUUAGGCAUCUUCCACUUGGUGGUGGACAACAUCCAGAAGGGGGUGCUAAUACCGCAUAGUAAUAGUUGAGCCGAAGUCGGAUUAGUUAGUUGGUGGGGUAAAGGCCUACCACGGCGACGAUCUGUAGCGGGUCUGAGAGGAUGAUCCGCCACACUGGUGCUGAGACACGGCCCAGACUCCUACGGGAGGCAGCAGUGGGGAAUCUUGGACAAUGGACGGAACUCUGAUGCAGCAAUUCCGCGUGUGUGAAGAAGGCCUUAUGGUUGUAAAGCUCUUUAAGUGAGGAGGCGUUACUGGCAGAAAAAGCCCCGGCUAACUAUGUGCCAGCAGCCGCGGUAAUAC
rnacentral:rRNA from 1 species